GAAAAGGGGUAGGGAGGAGGGAGGAAGAGAAAAAUGGGGAGAGGGUGGGCGAGAAGGAAAGGAAGAAAUCGAGGAAGUUGGAGGAAUGAGGGAUGAGGCAGGGAGGGAGAAAGGGAGGGCGAAGCAGUAAGGUGCUGCAAAGGACCCUUCUUUUUGGCCAUAAAAACCUGAGAAACUGAUUGAGAUUCUUUUGAGCAAUAAGGCAACUGCGGUGAGGAAAAAAUAAGGAAGGAGGCACAAAAAGCAAAGCAGUUCAGCCUGAAAUUGACUACAGAGCUUCCCUUUGCUUCAGCAGAGCCUGGAGGAGCAGGAGGGAUGGGGGCCCUGUCAGCUGGCCCAAAGCCCUGCCCUGUCCCAGGGGUGCUAAGCUUGCUGCAGGCCAGGAAACAGGCCUGGGCUUGCAGCUGGGGAUCAGGAAGUUUGGGGCCUCUUUGCACAGCUUACUGGGGAUAGGCCAAGCUCUGGGAACUCCUUUCAAUUUUUUUUUUUUUUAAGACAACUCUGUUUUUCUCCCUCCUCCCUACUAGUGGAAAUUUACCUUGCAAAACAGGACUGUGCAUGGUGAGAGCUGCUUGCAAUGUCCACACUCAGGACUCUAUGGAAAGAGUUCGCAGCUGGUGGUGAGGCUUUGAGGUGGGGCUGCCCUUAUUUCACUAGCUCCUGAGGGGCAGAGCUCACUCAGCUUUUUACCAAAUCAAAGGAAGGAAGCUUUAGGUCCUUCGAAGUUCAGAACCAGGGUGGUUUGUUUUGCUUCCUUUUGGAAUGGAAUAAAAUGCUCAUUUAAUUAAAUUCAAGUUCUCUGAGGGCUUUUAAAAACAGAAUUCUUCAUCUACCUCCAGCUGUGGCAGGCAUGCUGCAAUUUACUAGGAAGUUAAUCUCUAACAGAAAAAAGUACUCAGUUUCCUUUUAAGGACAUUCCCGUUAUCCACUGGAGCCUAGCAUCACUCGUCUGUCUCCCUUUGAGGUUCGAGAAUUUCUAAAGUGCCUGGUAAAAGUGGUUAGGAUUAUGUCUACUGAAAUAUAACUUUAACCUCUGGAAAAACAGGCCUGCAAAGGCCAACUUCCCAAACUGCUGGAAGAGGAGAGGUUUAUUAGUUAACGUAUCUAUCCAUCCAUCAUCCAUCCAUGCCUCCUUCCUUCCUUUCAUCCAGCCAUCUAUCCAUCCAUCUUUCCAUCCAUUAUCCAUCAUCCAUGCAUCCAUCCACCCACCCAUCUGUUCUUCAGUCCUUCCAUCUUUCUUUCCAUCUGUCCAUCCAUCCUUUCAUCCAUUAUCCAUCCAUCCAUCCACCCAUCUGUUCAUCAGUCCUUCCAUCUUUCUUUCCAUCUGUCCAUCCAUCCUUUCAUCCAUUAUCCCUCCAUCCAUCCACCUAUCUGUUCAUCAGUUCUUCCAUCUUUCCAUCCAUCCAUUCAUCUUUCCAUCCAUUCAUCUAUCCAUUUAUUCAUACAUUCAGCUCUUACCCUGGAUUUUUUAGUUACAUGAGGCAAUACAUUUUUUGCUUUUAACCAAUUGAUUCAUUCAACAAAUAUUUGUUGAGUUUCUACUCUAUCACUCAUCAUUCAUUCAUUCCUGUAUUCAUUUAUUAAUUCAGUGUUUACUGGGCAACUACUCUAUGCCAAACUCCUUAGUGUUCAUAAAAUGUUCAUAAAGUGCCAUCUUUGUGGGAGUACCGCCUGGAACAGGGUGGUCCAGGGAGAUCUUUCCAGUCUCGAUGAGACCCAAGAGCUUUCAAGAGUAAGUUGGAAUUAGACAAAGAGGAUGGUUAUUUUGGAAGCGAAUGUAUGACCUGGAGUUGGAUACAAGAACUGCAUGGGGCACAAUGUACAGUGUAAUAGGAGCCUAAGGUGCCCACGGCACAGGGACAGGGAGGUAAACCUUGACAAGUAAAAAAUCAAAUCAGGGGCUGGGCACAGUGGCUUACACCUGUAAUCCCAGCACUUUGGGAGGCCACGGUGGGUGGAUCAUGAGGUCAGGAGAUCAAGACCAUCCUGGCCAACAUGGUGAAACCCCAUCUCUAUUAAAAAUACAAAAAUUAUCUGGGUGUGGUGGCGUGUGCCUGUAAUCCCAGCUACUCAGGAGGCUGAGGCACAAGAAUCCCUUGAACACAGGAGGCAGAGGUUGCAGUGAGCUGAGAUCGUGCCACUGCAUUCCAGCCUGGUGACAGAGCAAGACUCCAUCUCAAAAAAAAAAAAUUUGAUGAAGCCAACGUGAGGACAGCUGCCCGGGAAACACUUUCAACUUGGCUUGGGCAGUGUUCCAUUCAGCCCAGGUUACAGUCAGGUUUCAAAAGGCAAAAGGGAACAAGGGGUGGGCGGAUACAAAGUUGUCUGACAGGAAUUCUCAUUGGCUUAGGAAAUAACAUUGAUUAGUGAUUAGCUUUAAAUGUUGAACUACAGGGUAUGAGUUUUGGUGUCUAGCCUACGGCACUGUGUGGUUAAUUUUAUGGCUGCUUGGCAUCAAUCUAGAGCCCACAUAGCAAGUGGUUCCAAGAGGUGGUUACUUGAUUCAAGGCAGGAGUGAGAGGUGACUGCCACCACACUUCAGUGCCCUCUGGGUCUGAUAAUUUGGAGGGGCUGGCAUUCCUCAGGUACAGUAGAUAAGGUGCCUGCAUUCUCUCCCCACACACAUAUACCCUGAGGGGAGGCACUGCUUGGAGCAGAAAAGCAUCUAUCAAGGACAAAACUCUGGAAAAACCAACAUGUAAAGGGCAGGUGGAGUAGAUAAGCUGCAAAGGAGCCAGCGAUGGACUGGGGCUUGGAUUGAUGGGAGACGGUGACCAAUGGCUUCUGCUCACGGAACAUUCACCAAGUGCCAGGCAUUGAGCUCAAAGAUGCUUUAUAAAUGCUAUCUAAUUUGCUCCUCACAAAAGGUCUACCAGGAAGGUAAAAUUCAUACCUUACGGGUGAGACAGCACAUUUAUGAAGGUUGCAUGAAUUGCCCAAGUUAACAUAGCUAGUUAGUGGCAGAAUAGGAAUUUGAGCUCUAAAGACCAGGGUUUUAACCACAGCAGCGCAUUGAAUAGUCUCCUCCCAAACUUCGUGUCCACCUGGGACCUUUGAAUGUGACCUAAUUUGGAAAUAGGGUUUGAAGAUGUAGCCAAGUUAAUAUGUGGUCAUGCUGGAUUAGAGUGAGCCCUAAAUCCAAUGACUGGUGUCUUUUUUUUUUUUUUUUAGAAAGGGUCUCACUCUGUCACACAGGCUGGAGUGCAGUGGUGUGAUCACAGCUCACUGCAGCUCCAAACUCCUAGGCACAAGUCAUCCUCCCACCUCAGCCUUCCAAGUGGCUAAAACUACAGGCAUGUGCCACCAUGCCUGGCUAAUUUUUAAUUAUUUUUUUGGGAGGUGGGGUCUCACUAUGUUGCCCAGGCUGGUCUCAAAUUCCUGGGGUCAAGUGAUCCUCCUGCCUCAGCCUCCUAAAAUGCUGAUAUUAUGGGUGUGAGCCACC
rnacentral:lncRNA from 1 species